GGCGGUGAUUUAACUAAUCAGAGGAAUUUGCCCUGUAAUCGAUAACCCUCGUUGUAUCUGGCUUAAGAUUGUAGUCAGCUUGUAUACCGCCGUCAGCAGGAAAUUUUUAGAAAAUAUUUUCAAGAUUUUGUGAAAAAGUAUGUCAGGUCAAGGUGCAGCUUAUACUUAAGGAGAGGUGAAUUACAAUAAAUUAAUUUAAAACGGAAAGUUUAGUGAAAACUAAACAAAGAAGGUGGAUU
rnacentral:rRNA from 1 species